CAAAGCGAUGUCAAUACUGCAGUCGAGCGGAGUUGAUAAGAAGGUUGCUUCGUUGAUGGUUAGCGGGGGACGGGUGAGUAACACGUACGGAACCGGCCCUCGAGCUUGGGACAACUACCGGAAACGGUAACUGAUACCGAAUACUUGCUUCCUUCGCCUGAAGGAAGCUGGAAAGACGGAGCAAUCUGUCACUUGAGGAUGGGCCUGCGGCGCAUUAGCUAGUUGGUGAGGUAACGGCUCACCAAGGCGACGAUGCGUAGCCGACCUGAGAGGGUGAUCGGCCACCCUGGGACUGACACACGGCCCAGACUCCUACGGGAGGCAGCGCUAGGGAAUCUUCCGCAAUGGGCGAAAGCCUGACGGAGCAAUGCCGCGUGAGUGAUGAAGGUUUUCGGAUCGUAAAGCUCUGUUGCCAGGGAAGAACGUCCUUGAGAGUAACUGCUCAGGGAGUGACGGUACCUGAGAAGAAAGCCCCGGCUAACUACGUGCCAUCAGCCGCGGUAAUACGUAUGGGGCAAGCGUUGUCCGGAAUUAUUGUCCGUAAAGCGCGCGCAAGCGGUCAUUUAAGUCUGGUGUUUAAUCCCGGGGCUCUACCCCGGAUCGCACUGGAUACUGGAUGACUUGAGUGCAGAAGAGGAGAGUGAUAUUCCGCGUGUAGCGGUGAAAUGCGUAGAGAUGUGGAGGAACUCCUGUGGCGAAGGAGACUCUCUGUGCUGUAACUGACGCUGAAGCGCGACAGCGUAGGCCAGCCCACUAGAUUAGAUACCCUAGGUAGUGCCACGCCGUACACGAUGUAUGCUGAGUGUUAUGAGCGUUAUCG
rnacentral:rRNA from 1 species